AUUUAAGUUUGUAUAUAUUUAAUAAAUAAAACAAAUAUCACAGUCAAUAUCACAUUAUUUAUACAAUAAUAAAAUGCUGAUUUUCAUCAAACUACAAUGAAACAUAGCUAUAUUUACAAUACCAUUAUCAAGAAAUAUGCUGUAAUAAGCAUUUAUUUUGUACUGGAUGUGAAUCCAAUACUUAAAUGCUUUUAGGUUAUCACAUACAAAUACCUAUGCAUUUUCAAUAUCUGAAUUUUGAAAAAGAUAUUGAAGAUUAGAUCGAAAAGGAAAACUAAAAUAAAUUACAUCUGUAUGCUUUCAGGCUUUAAUUCUGUUAAUGACUAUGUCGACUAAGUCACAAUUAUUUCUACAAAAUCUGUUCAAACUCCAUUCCUUUCUAAAUUUUCUUUUUAUUUCCGAAAGAGUAAAAAGUGAAUCACAUUCUUCAGUAAGAAUGAAGCUAUUUGACACCAACAUAUAUGGAGACCACCAUUCAGGAUAUCUUCAUCCACCAUGCUAUUCUUUCUUUCAAUUCCAAAAACAGUCAAAUAAAUUGAGAAUUCUUUUUUGGUUUUUUUUCCAUUUAAAAUUGAUAACAUAUCUAAUAUUCCUUAAAUAUUAAAAAGUUCUUCUUAAAAAAUAAUAUUCCUUUAAGCCACAAAAUUUAUUCUAAUAUUUCUAGACAUGGUACAUAUAAUGAUAUAUAAAAUCCAGAUUUUUGUUCUUCUUACAACAUGUUUAAGUACUAGAAUGCAUACUGACCUAUAUACUAUAGCAACAAAUCAAUACAGAUAAUUGAAAAAUGUAAAAUUUAUACAUAACAACUUUUAACUCCACAUUCCAUGAAGGGUUUUAAAACUUAAAUUGAGAUAAGUAAACAUUUAUAUUUACAUGUAACCAGGAAUAAUAUCAGUAAUGAUAAUAUAUGAGCCAUUAUCAACUAAUUCUCACAUUCAAAAAUAAACAAUGUCUUAGAAGCUAAAUAUUAGCCUAAACUUUCAGCCUCCAUGUAAAUAUCAAAAUCUAGACAAAUAAAUUGCACAUUAGAUAAUUAGUUUCUCAGCAGUUAAUAAUUUGACACAUUUAUUUGAAAUCUCAUAGAAACAGUUUGGCAUAAUCAUAUCAUAAAAAUAUAAUGUUGAAUCACAGCAGAAUCAGAAGUAAAAAUCACAGCAAUAUUUGGCAAACUUUAGUUAUUAAAAAAAACCAAUCACCAUGAAGGGAUAUAAAAAAAGGAUAUUUAACAUAGUGAUUUAUAAAUCUCAAUAAUAUAAUAUUUAUUGAACAAAAUUAUAUCCAAAUAUUUCCCCCAAAAAAGUACAUUGCUAUACAAAAACAUGAAAAAAUGAAUUAAAAUCUGCAAAACUAAUUGGCCUUUUAAGUACAACAGCCAUUUUCAAAUAAUCAAUGAAUAUUUGAUACAGAGAUGAAUAAAUAUGUUGUUAACUGUUAAGAUGAAGUAUUUGAAGAUGAACUG
rnacentral:lncRNA from 1 species